UCGUGAGAUGUUGGGUUAAGUCCCGCAACGAGCGCAACCCUUGUCCUUAGUUGCCAGCAUUCAGUUGGGCACUCUAAGGAGACUGCCGGUGACAAACCGGAGGAAGGUGGGACGACGUCAAGUCAUCAUGGCCCUUACGUGUAGGGCUACACACGUGCUACAAUGGCAUUUACAGAGGGAAGCGAGACAGUGAUGUGGAGCGGACCCCUUAAAGAAUGUCGUAGUCCGGAUUGGAGUCUGCAACUCGACUCCAUGAAGUCGGAAUCGCUAGUAAUCGCAGGUCAGAAUACUGCGGUGAAUACGUUCCCGGGCCUUGUACACACCGCCCGUCACACCAUGGGAGUGGGAUGCAAAAGAAGUAGUUAGUCUAACCUUCGGGAGGACGAUUACCACUUUGUGUUUCAUGACUGGGGUGAAGUCGUAACAAGGUAACCAGAGUUUGAUCAUGGCUCAGGAAGUCGUAACAAGGUAACC
rnacentral:rRNA from 1 species